AUUUGUCAGUCAUCAUUCAGGUAGGUCCUAGCCAGUUAUCAUUCAGAUAAGUCCUCCUAGCAAGUCAUCAUUCAGGUAGGUCCUCCUAGUCAGUCAUCAUUCAGGUAAGUUCUCCUAGUCAGUCAUCAUUCAGGUAGGUCCUCCUAGCCAGUCAUCAGUGAGGUAGGUCCUCCUAGCCAGUCAUCAUGCAGGUAGAUCCUCCUAGCCAGUCAUCAUUCAGGUAGGUCAUAGUCACUCGUCUUUCAGGUAGGUCAUAGUCAGUCACAGUGAUGAGAGGGCCUUGCUCUGUUUAUCUUUAGAAGGAUCUUAUCCUUCGUCUAGUUGUGUCUAGGGUUGCAAAAUUACAAGAACUUUAAAUAAUUUCCAUGGUUUUCCCAACAUCCCAGUUGGAGGAUCCCAGAACCAGGAGGAAAUAAGCAGGACAUCCGGAACCCUCCAACCAGGAUUUCUGGAAAACUAGGGAAUUUAUUGACAGUUCCCUGAAUUUUGUAACCCUAGUUGUGUCCCAAUAAAUGCAGAAGGAGCUGUGCCAGGAGAGGGCCUGUGGGAGUAUAGUGAUGAGAUUGACCACUCUCUCUGUGGUACAACUGCUGCUGACUCAUCCUGCACUACCUGCAGGACUCAGGCUUAGUACUCAUCACACACACACACACACACACAUUUCCCACAGAUGACAUGUUUGAACUGUCCUUGUGGUUGUCUCGGUGGGUGUAGGUUGACCAGUGAGGGUUUCAACAACUUGUUGUUAGUCUACUCCUCUCUGGUUCUGUUUGGCUUCAAGAGUGAAGAUCUGGAUGUCAAGGUAACAUACAUUUCAGCUCUCUUCAAAAUAAAACGGAGUCUUUCAAUUCAAUCUGAUAUGAAAUGUUAACAAAUGUUUUUUUUGCUGACCUAC
ensembl:lncRNA